UCAAAUGAAGCAGGCGUUAAAUGGUUCUCUAAAGAAGAGAGAAAAUUCUAGAGGGAAGAGACAGAGAGGGAUAAAACUUAAGAGAGAUGGUCGACCCACUCCCCCUCCGCCUAAACUUUCCACUCCUUAUUUCCACGCAAAAAGAAACUCAAUGUAGAGGAAAUUAAUGGCAAUGUGUUAAGGAUAGACCUCAUCUACAAAUUAAAAGUCCUACAACUAUGGAAUCAUCUGUCAAUGAUCAACGCAAUAACAGAUAGUAGCAGAUAAUGAUCAACACAGUAACAAAUUGCCAACUCCACUGGUACUCCUCUCUCUCUCUCUAAAUUUUGGCUUCAAACUUAAUCUUUUAUGCAAUAUUUGUUUCUUCCAAAUAUCACAAAAUACUAAAUUCCACUUCCAAAGACGCUAAUAACGACUUGACUAACCAUCCUUUGACAAGAUUCUAUUCAAAGAAUAGAGAGAUACAUCCUCAAACAAGCUUUGGUGGUCCAUCAUGCACCAAACAACGAUUGGGGGUUCAAAAGCAGGGAUGGAUCUUUUCGAUAUUAUUCUCACUAAGGCAUGCUAAAGUUGGAGAAUAAGGAAUGAAUGAUCAAUGAUGUCUCGGAUUUGAAGCUGGCUUGAAUUAAGAAGAAUAAAAAUUGUGUUAAUGCCAGUACCAAUAGAAGUUUAUAUUGGGUUGUACAAAGUAAUAACUGGAUUCAAGUCUCUAAUAUCAAAGGAGAACAUGACAUUAAUUAGUCUAUCUCAACCCAAAUAAUGGGCUAAAAGUGAAGGACAAUGAGGAGAGUACUGUUUUGUUU